rnacentral:rRNA from 1 species
UGCAGUCGUGCGAGAAACCCCUUAGGGGGUGAGUACAGCGGCGGACGGGUGAGUAACACGUGAGCGAUCUACCCGGUGGCGGGGGACAACCCAGGGAAACCUGGACUAAUACCGCAUACAGCGGAGGGAGUAGGUGCCCUUCGUGAAAGCUGGCCUCUCCAUGGAAGCUAGCGUCGCCGGGGGAGCUCGCGGCCUAUCAGCUAGUUGGUGGGGUAAAGGCCUACCAAGGCGAUGACGGGUAGCUGACGUGAGAGCGUGACCAGCCACACUGGGACUGAGACACGGCCCAGACUCCUACGGGAGGCAGCAGUGGGGAAUAUUGCGCAAUGGGCGAAAGCCUGACGCAGCGACGCCGCGUGGGGAAGGAAGGCCCUAGGGUUGUAAACCCCUGUCAGGUGGGACGAACCCUGGGUCGACGAAUAGUUGGCUCAGCUGACGGUACCAUCAGAGGAAGCUCCGGCUAACUCCGUGCCAGCAGCCGCGGUAACACGGGGGGAGCAAGCGUUGUUCGGAAUCACUGGGCGUAAAGCGCGCGUAGGCGGCCGAGUAAGUCGUAUGUGAAAGCCCGGGGCUCAACUCCGGUAUUGCAUGCGAUACUGCCCGGCUGGAGAAAGGUAGAGGCAAGUGGAAUUCCCGGUGUAGCGGUGGAAUGCGUAGAUAUC